UACGUAGGGGGCUAGCGUUGUCCGGAAUCAUUGGGCGUAAAGCGCGUGUAGGCGGCCCGGUAAGUCCGCUGUGAAAGUCGGGGGCUCAACCCUCGAAUGCCGGUGGAUACUGUCGGGCUAGAGUGCGGAAGAGGCGAGUGGAAUUCCUGGUGUAGCGGUGAAAUGCGCAGAUAUCAGGAGGAACACCGGUGGCGAAGGCGGUUCUCUGGGCCUUACCUGACGCUGGAGGAGCGAAAGCAUGGGGAGCAAACAGG
rnacentral:rRNA from 1 species